GUAUGAAUCAGCGCGUAGCAUGUUUGGUUUCGGAGAUUUCAAUUAAGGUGAAUUGCUUAUACAUGCAGCCGAAGCCAAGCAUGCGAUACACACUUACAGUAACAUUUGCCCUGCUUCUUGCCAUUCGCGCGUUUGAGACGAAAGCCUACUAUUUUGAUCUCCAGGAAGAAUCGCGUUUUCAUCCGCAAGACCACAUGAAUGCCAACAUGGGUACUGCCGCUAUCAGACGUGGCAGGAAUAUAUAGGUACAUCUUGUGGUACAUCGUAUCUGCAGUGCCUCAGGUCCUGCCGAAAACUGUGCAACUGAGG